GUGGGGAAUAUUGGGCAAUGGGCGAAAGCCUGACCCAGCAACGCCGCGUGAGGGAAGAAGGUUUUCGGAUCGUAAACCUCUGUCCUUAGUGAAGAGUAAGAGACGGUAGCUAAGGAGGAAGCCCCGGCUAACUACGUGCCAGCAGCCGCGGUAAUACGUAGGGGGCGAGCGUUGUCCGGAAUGAUUGGGCGUAAAGGGCGCGUAGGCGGCCUGUUAAGUCCGGAGUGAAAUUCCUGCUUUCAAGGUAGGAAGUGCUUUGGAAACUGGCGGGCUGGAGUGCAGGAGAGGUUAGCGGAAUUCCCGGUGUAGCGGUGAAAUGCGUAGAGAUCGGGAGGAACACCAGUGGCGAAGGCGGCUAACUGGACUGUAACUGACGCUGAGGCGCGAAAGUGUGGGGAGCAAACAGGAUUAGAUACCCCAGUAGUCC
rnacentral:rRNA from 1 species